AGUGAACGUUGGUGGCGUGGAUUAGGCAUGCAAGUCGCGCGGAAAGGCCCCGCAAGGGGCACUCGAGCGGCGUAAGGGAUAGUAACACGUGGGUAACCUACCCCUGGGACUGGGAUAGCUGCGGGAAACUGCAGGUAAUACCGGAUCACGUCCCCGGACCAACGGUGUGAUUCCGCCUGGGGAUGGGCACGCUUCCUAUUAGCUAGUUGGCAGGGUAACGGCCUACCAAGGCAAAGAUGGGUAGGGGGUGUGAGAGCACGACCCCCAUCACUGGGACUGAGACACUGCCCAGACACCUACGGGUGGCUGCAGUCGAGAAUCUUCGGCAAUGGGCGCAAGCCUGACCGAGCGACGCCGCGUGCGGGAUGAAGGCCCUCGGGUUGUAAACCGCUGUCAGAGGGAAAGAAGUGCUGGGGGGUUCUCCCUUCAGUUUGACUGACCCUCAGAGGAAGUACGGGCUAAGUUCGUGCCAGCCGCCGCAGUAA
rnacentral:rRNA from 1 species